rnacentral:rRNA from 1 species
CACGUAGGGGACGAGCGUUGUCCGGAUUCAUUGGGCGUAAAGCGCGCGUAGGCGGCUCGGAAAGUCGGUCGUGAAGUGCCGGGGCUCAACCCCGGGACUGCGUCCGAUACUCCCGAGCUGGAGGCAGGUAGGGGAGAUCGGAAUUCCUGGUGUAGCGGUGAAAUGCGCAGAUAUCAGGAGGAACACCGGUGGCGAAGGCGGAUCUCUGGGCCUUGCCUGACGCUGAGGCGCGAAAGCUAGGGGAGCGAACAGG